UCCUGCACCGUCCUGAGAGUACCUAAGAAGCUAAGUAGCUAGGGCUUGGCCUGGUUAGUAGUGAGGUGGGAGACCACCUUGGAAGAUCAGUGGUCGCUAGAA
rnacentral:rRNA from 12 species